rnacentral:rRNA from 1 species
AGUGAACGCUGGCGGUAGGCCUAACACAUGCAAGUCGAACGGCAGCACAGGAGAGCUUGCUCUCUGGGUGGCGAGUGGCGGACGGGUGAGGAAUACAUCGGAAUCUACUCUGUCGUGGGGGAUAACGUAGGGAAACUUACGCUAAUACCGCAUACGACCUACGGGUGAAAGCAGGGGACCUUCGGGCCUUGCGCGAUUGAAUGAGCCGAUGUCGGAUUAGGUAGUUGGCGGGGUAAAGGCCCACCAAGGCGACGAUCCGUAGGUGGUCUGAGAGGAUGAUCAGCCACACUGGAACUGAGACACGGUCCAGACUCCUACGGGAGGCAGCAGUGGGGAAUAUUGAACAAUGGGCGCAAGCCUGAUCCAGCCAUACCGCGUGGGUGAAGAAGGCCUUCGGGUUGUAAAGCCCUUUUGUUGGGAAAGAAAUCCAGCUGGCUAAUACCCGGUUGGGAUGACGGUACCCAAAGAAUAAGCACCGGCUAACUUCGUGCCAGCCGCCGCCGUAA